UACAGAGGGGGCAAGCGUUGUCCGGAUUUACUGGGCGUACAGCGCGCGCAGGCGGUCGGGUAUGUGAGCGGUGACAUCCGUGGGCUCAACCCACGGCGGCCCGCUUACACAGCCCGACUGGAGGCAGGGAGAGGGAUGUGGAAUACCCGGUGGAGCGGUGAAAUGCGUAGAGAUCGGGUGGAACACCAGCGGCGAAGGCGGCAUCCUGGCCCUGAACUGACGCUGAGGCGCGAUAGCGUGGGGAGCAAACGGG
rnacentral:rRNA from 1 species